CUGGAUGAGCUGAACAAACAAAGUUGUUGCAUAAACACAAGACUUUGUCCCGUAUGAAAGAUUGUUCUGAUCAUUUUGGCUUUAAACAGGUCUUGGGAUUAUCAGUCAAUUUAUCCUAAACCUAUAAGUGCGGCUUACGGGCCAAAUAUCUUUCUGAGGAAUUAAAACUUCCGAAUCAAGAUGCUAUCAAGAUGUUACAUGUAGAAGGUCUUCUGUUUGCCUUCCUCAAUACGUCACAAUAUCUGCUGUCGUGUUCAACAGAACAAUGACUAUACAAAUGUUGCCGUCACAAAGAACUACCUGUGUCUGUGGUGUUGGGAAAGAGCUACAGUAAGAUCUGCUCGACACGGCUAUGUGAGACGAGACCUUCGCGGGAAAAUUCGACGAGGAUCCAGCGUAUCAGAUAAGCGAGGCGCACAACUCAAUGACAGUUUUGCGAUUUCAAGCUACGUUAAAUAGACUGUUGAAAGUGCAACAUUUCAAGCCGAAAUUGUUAAGUGCUAAACCUCAAGAAUCAAGUUGAAAUGAUUUUGGACACAAAAGGGCGUUGCAAUUAAAAUCUAUUUAAUUAUAUUAACCUUUUGUUUACUGUGCUAUGCCUAGAAGUAUAGGGGUGAUUUAAUACGCUGGUACUUGUUACAAGGUUAAAGGGGCUUUGCAGUAAUUUGUUUUAAGAACAAUUUAAAGGUUUAAACUGUCUAUGGCAAGCCAAAGGGACAGUUCAUGUGAAUUUACAGAAGUGCACCUCUUCUGAGUUACAAAAUAGCAGUUUAAUACACUUGGAAAUUAAGUAUUUGAACUGUUUAUAUUGCAUUGCACAUUGUGCAAAGUAUUUUAUGAUUCAAUUUGUUUGAAAUUGGUUUCACUUCUUGAGGUUAAGAUUUAUUUAAGUCUAGGUGACAAUACAGGGUUGAAUGCAAUAUUAAGUAUGUGUUAAGAAAUCCAAGUGCUCGUAGUUGUUAAAGAAUUCAUUUAGUUCACCUUCUGACUAUUCACAUUUAAGAACACCCUAGUUUCCAUUUACACAUAGCCUUACAAACAAGUCAGUCUUAGCAACAACAGACAUACAGUUCAUUACUUUAUCCAUUCAUCUUAUUUCAAAAUGUUAAACGCAUACAAUGAGAUUCGCCAGGGAAAUGCUGAAUCACAUGGUCAGGCAGAAGUUACAAACCCUGAAUCUGCAGACGUAGAAAAGCUGUGUAGAAGUGAAAGAACUCGAACUUUAACUAAAAAGGGAAAACAACCUCAAGAUAAAAAACUAUAGGCUAUACAUCGGGAAAUACAAAUGGAAGUCUCAUGUGAGAAUAGGCAAGGAAAUACCAUAUGAUGAGGUCUCCCGAGAUGAAUUAAUAUAUAUACUAAUAUAGAAAAAUAUGGAAAACGCAUGUCCUGAAGUAUAGAUUGUCUAUAAAGUAGUUCAAACUCCUGAAACAGAUCUGCGACGUAGAGUUGACGCUUGUAUAUCGCUUUCAGAAUGCAUUAUUCAACGAGCACAAAGACAACUUGAACGAUGUGCAGCAGAUGAGGAGAAAGAACCGCGGCCUGAUGUGGGAUCAAUUUUAGCUUCAACAAGCUCUGCAUCAAGACCAAUGUCUCAAGGAUCAAAGUGUAGUUCAGCCCACUUCAGUUUACGCUCUGCAAAAAUAAACGAGGCUGUGGCUGAAGCGGCUGCAUCUCAGGAAGUUUUAGCAGUGUUGGAAGAACAGGAAAGAGAAAUAGCAGAACUUCAAAGAACUUCUAGAGUUUGAAAGUAGGCAAUGGCUCAAUUUGAAUCUGAUGACCUGGCAAGACACCAAGCAAUACAAGCGCAGAAGGCUUGAACGCUUGGAAGAAAUUAAAAAGUUGAAUGCUGCCAGUGCUCGAUGAAGUGUAUGAUCAAUUUGAAGCAAAUUUUAAGCCAAUUAAUUCCCAGCACGCUACUGAUGUAGUAGAAGGACUUCAGGUUUCCAACUACGCAAAGCUCUUGGUCAGUACUCUGCCUCAGCCAUUCAUCACACAAACACUUGAUGCCUCAAGCCAUCAAUUCAUUCCUCAAUCUCAGGCAAUACAAACCCAGACUUUGCAAUGGUCAUCAAAAGCCCCACCUGUUUUGACAUCUAUGACACAAUGAAACUGCAAUGCCACACCUUAAGACUUUGGAAAUUCUUAAUGACUACAAUGAGAAUCAAAAAAUCCUAUUGAAGCUACCAGAUUGGUUCGUUUCCAGAUGGAACCGCGAAGUGAUGGAAGCCAGAUGAAAAAUAAAGCCUGAUUAUCCGCGAUUCAAAGAUUUUGUAGACUUCCUGUCUAAAGAAGCAGAUCUCGCUUGCAAUCUAAUAUCUUCGAAGCUCAAAGGUGUAGAAAGCACAAAACCCAAGCAGUUGAGAAACCAACCCAUUCAAAGACGCUGUACACAAACACAACACAGAGCCGUACCUCAUCAUGCCCUUUUUGUAAGAGAACAGGACAUGGCUAAAUGUACAAGGUUUGGCGAGAAGACAUUGCAAGAUUGUGUCAAGUUUGUGCGCACAGAGAAGCUUUGCUUUGGGUGUUUGCAGGCUGGGGCCCAUUUCGAUUAGGAUCGUGAAUCAAUAAACAAAUGGCGUAUGCAAUGUCAACACCGCUCGCGCUCGCGAGAUUGUAACAAACUCUGGGUUUGCUCCCGGGUUUGGUUCAUGGAGUGUGUUACUCUGGUUACUCACUCGGAGUAUAAGAUACCUCGCGUUCUGAAACCAAACUCCCUGAGUAUUCCGUUUUCUGGGGUUGACUUGCUCUGAAUUUGGACUUACCCUGCUUUUUGAAACGGGCCCCAAGUCAUCAUUCAAGAAGAUGUGAUAACAGGAGCAUAUGCGAAAAGUUUAGCAAAAGAUAUCCUACUUGCUUCUGAUGACAAGUUAGGAGAGGUGAAAACUCAAAGGAGACAGAUAAUAAGGAGAUAGUUGCAACAGUAAUCGCCAAUGUAGUCAAACAAAAGGAUCUAGACACGCAAACAUCUACCAUCAUACCAGCACAAAGCAGCUUGAUCAAGAAGUCCUUGUCCAUGCACAUUUAAAUACGCAAAGUGAUACAACCUUUAUUCUGGAUAAAGUGGCUCAAAAUCUUGAUUCGAACAAAGAGUGUCAGUUUACAGCUAUCUAAAAUGUUGGCAAGGUCGACAGUCAUAACUUGUCAAAAACUGACAAGUCUACAACUGAGGGGUAACACCUCAGAGAAAAGGACCCAUUGCCACCAGUCUUUCCAAGAGCGGUCAUUCCGGCAAAUAGGUCACAGAUUCCAACUUCAGAAACAGCAGAAGACGUGGCCUCAUUUGGAACCGUUAUCAGACAAAAUUUUGCCAUUGUUGAACUGUGAAGUAGGCAUUUUAAUCUGCAAUCAUUUCCAGCAAGGCCUAGUCCUAAGGAAGUCUUAUCUGGGGAAGAAAAUCAGCCAUAUGCCCAACAAACCGAUCUUGGCUGGAGCAUAGUUGGAUACUCAUACCCAGCUAAUAAUCGCUGUGACACAAUAGGAAUCAGCAACAUAACUUUAGUGCGACAAGUUAUGCCCGACGUAAAGUUGUCCAUUAACCUGAAAAGAGAGGUACACUUUGUGUGCAGGACUCGUGUCUAGGAAAUAAUUUCAACAGACAUUAUCAAGGCUCUCAAAUCCGACUUCAUUAAUAAUAGCACAGAUGAUACCCAGUUUCUCAGGAAGACCUUCUUUUCUUAUCCAAGGUAUAAGGCAAAAGGAAAAUCGCCACUUUGAACUUCCACUUCCCUUCAAGACGGACAAAUCUAAUCUCCCAGACAACAACCAAUUGGCUGUCCAUAGACUGAAUUCGUUAUAGUUUUAGAUUGUUCAGCACGCUUCCAAGACACCUCUCUAAACGAUCACCUUUUGACUGGCCCAGACAUGACCAACACAUUAGUGGGAGUGCUGUGUAAUGUGUGAUGUCGAGCAAAUGUUCGACAUCGGAAAUCGGGAAGUCUACAACGGAAAUCGUCAUUAUUAAUCAGAUGCAAGAAGAUGCCUUCUCUGAAGACAUUAAAAGAAUCAAGUUUCAGAAAAAGAUCAUCCUGAACAAGGAUAAGUCACAGCAAGUUUUAUAUAUAAUUUUCAUAUGAAUACAAUUCACAUAUUAUGUUGUUUUGGGAUAUUACAAAUAUAUUGGCGGUACCAGUAAGUCAUCAAAUACAAUCAGUUUCUUCAUAUUUCCUUAUUUUUUUUAUAUACAAUAACUAAGCAGUUUUUGCUUGACUGUAGAAAUCACAGGCACAUGUAAACAAAAAUCAAGUCAAGUGUACACAUAUUUUACAACUGUUUAAAUAGUACAGCUGCAAUGCAAAUGACAUUUUGUAACUAAUUAACCCCCAGACCAUCGUCCUGAAGUAACGAUGAAAACGAUCGUGGUACAGCUUAUACUCCUGGAUCGGUGUGUACCUGAUAUCGUCUUUUUCUCUUCCUUUGCUCAUUCUGGCAAAAAGCAAUAAACUAAUCUUCACUGCUGCUGGUGCUGGAGAUCUCCAUUUCUUGUUCUGCUGUUGGAAGUACGUAAAGCAAACAGUACUAGUAGCCUGUAUUGCUAUGCGCUAAGCUAUUCUUCCUCUCAGCAGCCAAAGCCUGAAUAGCGGUUGAGCUCCACAUAAUGUUGAGGCGUGAAAUACAUUCUCCAUCAGCGCCUUCUACCAUGCGGGUGUCAAAUAGAAGAAAGCAAUCAUUCGUUUCGUCGUUGAUAUGAAAACGGGGUUUGUCGGGUAUAGGCCCUUUUCACAAUGACGUAACUCAACUUCCGCCUUUUCGCAAAGCAGUGUAUCAUAACAUCCGUCUUUCAACAAACAAGGAGAAGAACAACUUCCGUUUUGCCGUCGAACUGUAAUUGAACAACAGUGAAAAACUGACAGAACACGUAUUGAAGUACUUAUCCUAGCACCUCCGCUAACACAAAAUGAAAAAAACACACUUACCUUCAUAAACAAACGAAGAAUUUGUAUCCUUUAUCUAGCCUUGAUCUUGCCUUGAUCUUCUUUCUGGGGCAAUCGUGGCCUAAUGGUUAGAAUGUUGUACUCGUGACCAGAAGGUUGCUGGUUCGAUCCUCAGUGCAGACGGGUAAUGAUUGAGGUGUCCUUGAGCAAGGCACUUUACCCCUACUUGCUCCCCGGGCGCUGCAGUGAUAGCUGCCCACUGCUCUGGUUGUCCAUGUGUUCAUUGCUGUGCGUGUGUUCACUACUCACUGGAUGGGUUGAAAGCAGAGGUACAUUUUGCAGAUAUCUGACAAAUUCUCUGAAAAUAACUUUUCACUUUCAAUGUGGAGUAAAAUGGUCUUUGAACCUGAGAAAUAUUGAGAUGUGUAAAAUCAGAAGUCAUCCGUGGUACAAGAUAACUGAUAAAGAUGUGAAAAGCUGUUUACUUAUCUAACUUGCUGAAUUAAGUGAUAUGACAAUUUAAAUGUUUUGGGCACCAAUGAUAAAUUGCACAUACUACGUUAUAUCUUUGCGCACAUGUUUAGCAUAUAUAUUAUGAUACGCAUAUUUUUUUUCCUGUUAGUUAUGAUUAUAGAAUACUGCUUAUGGAGGAAUUUCAUGACAUGACUUUGUUUUUCAUCCUUAUUCACAAUGUAUUGCUCUUCGAUUUAAACACAUUUGUAUGAGAUUCAGAAAAGCACCUGACUGCUGUGUUUUUGUUGUCUGGUAGUGUUUAUGAAAUCUGGGCACUUUUUCCAGCCCCAACCCUACAUGGUCCCAAUCUGGGCAUGUUCCGCCCCGUUACUAUGACAACAAUCUACAUAGAGCAAGGCCACAGUUUUGCCACAGUUAGAGACAAGAGAAUGGGGUGAAGAAGGGGAAACAGGUCAUGAUGAUGAUGAAAUAAUUGUGGUGGGCGAGGAUUUAUAUAAAAGAAACACGAAGAUAACCGCAAGUUACCUGAUUGGUUCAAAGUAAGGAACACCUCUUGACGUUUGGGUAUAACUGUUGAUGCAAAGCACUGUGUUUUCAGAUGACUUGGAACGUCUCACUUUGUUUGGCUCGAGCAAAUAAAGUUUACUCUUUGACACCUGGACCUUCUUUGUUUGGUAGAUUUUUAAUCCGCAAGAUCAUUUAUCCCCAUCACGUACAACAGAUCAAUGGCGUUCUUGUACAAUGUUCGAUUGGCAUUUCUAGCCAUGCUGAUGUUGGCUCUACAUCUGGAGUUAACCAGUGCUGGUGUCAAAAUUACAAAUUUAAGAGCCAACAACCUCUCCGGCGCCGAUCCCUCAGGAGACAAAGCUGAUGCAUAUUUGAAGGUCUCGUGCGGUUCUGAAAAGGAUGCUCUGUCGGGAUAUGUUGAAGAUGAUGAUAACCCCAGGUGGUACGCAGAGUUCAACUUUCCAAGUUGUAAAGGCAGUAACUCCCUGAGGCUGGAGGUGUGGGACAGAGAUUGGUAUUUUGAUGACCAUUUGGCAUCCUGUCGAUCAUCUCCACCACUGAAGAGCGGCUCUUAUUAUUGUAACGCUUAUGGAACUCUGCAUUUUGAUUUAGAGGUGUAUUAAAUCUGUUCUGAGAUCAUCUCCACUGUAACCAGCUCUGAAGUAAUCAAGUAGACAGUGAAUUUCAUGUUCUGCUGGUUUUGCAGUGAAAGAUGUUUCUGCCAAACAGGUUGUGGUAAGGUUAAAAAAUACUGUAGUAUUUAGGAAUUUUACUACAGUUGACUGUAGUAUUCUACUGUAUUUUGCAUCUUUCUGAAAUGACUGCAAACUGGUUUUAAUUCAAAUAAAAAAAUCAUGCAGUGUUAUGCUGUUGCACCAUCUCCAGUUGACUGUUAGGCGCAGUGUGUCCGUUUCGCCGCUAGAGGUCGUUUAUUCAAAACCAUCAACACAAGUUUUGGACCAAAAAAGAUUUGCUAGAUUGCACAACCUGAACCUUCAUUUUUGCUCGGUCUACACACUGUUCAACACCAGGGACCCACCGGAAUCAGUGUUACUGUUGAAUACAACUAAAACAUUUUGUUUAUUGAAAUAAAAAUGCAUAAAUUAUUUUAAGUUCUUUAAACCUAAAUAAAAAAUAUGACUAGAAACGCUGCCUCAGUAAAAAACUGAAAUGAGUUUUUAGUUGCGGUGUUAAAAUCUUCAUCAAAAAAAGCUAAAACUAAAAUAAUGAAACCUAUAGGGCUGUCAAACAAUUAAUCAAGAUUAUUCGCAUCCAGAAUAAAAGUUUGUGUUUACAAAAUAUAUGUUUGUGUACUGGGCAUGUAAUUUUUUUGUUUAUGAACACAUACACAUAAAUGCAUACAUUUAAGAAAAAUAUAAAAUAUAACAAUAAACAUUUCUUUAUUUUAUUUACAAUUAUUGGUCAAUUUAAAUUAAUAGAUUUAAAUAUUUCCUAAGAAUAUAGACAAGUAUGUGUAUGUUUUGUGUUCAUUAAUACAAAUUAAUAUGCAGAGUACAUACAUAUAUUAAAUUAUUUAAUUACAAAACUUUAUUCUGGAUGCGAUGAAUUGCGAUUAAUCGUUUGACAGCCCUUAAAAAAUAAAGUGUUAAAAUCACUAAACAAAAAAAAGUUUACAUUUAAAUUAUCAUGAAAACAAAAUAUAUACAAUAAAAACAUGAAUAAAUGUCUUUCCUUAUAAAAACUUGAUUUUACAGCUCCUACAGGACAGGAAACUGAAAUCUGAUUAUUAUCCACAUGGUUCAUGUUUUCUAUAAUAGGAUGAAUAUUACCCUCAUAUGAACAUGAAAAUAAAAUAAAAACAAUCAUAUUUAUGUAUUUGGCAGCCAUUGGUGUCGAAAGUGAUGCAUUGCUCAAAUCACGUAUAAUUUGGAAGUCAAUCCGUCAACCUUGACAUUGUUUGUGCCACUGGAUGAGCUGAACAAACAAAGUUGUUGCAUAAACACAAGACUUUGUCCCGUAUGAAAGAUUGUUCUGAUUCUUUAUGCUUUAAAUAGAGCUUGGGAUUAUCAGUAGGCCAUCUCAAUUUAUCCUAAAAUUACAAGUGGGGUAAGGAUUUAUUUUUUGCCAUUAUUUACACUUGACAAUGAGUCUAAAUAUUCUCUGUUAUGAUUUAACAUUAAUGCUUGUGGAUUUUGUUGUUUUUCUUGACAGUCAUGGCAUUCUUACACAUGCUGAUCUGGUUUUCAGGCUUACGGGCCAAGUAUCCUUCUGAGGAAUGCCCCUGAUCCAUAUGUCCAAGUCUGGGGAUUAUUUCAGAGGAAUAUUUUAAGCCCUUUAUAGUCUGCAGGGAUCAGCUUUUAAAACUUCUGAAUCAUUGACCCUGAAGCUGGAGGUGUGGGACAAGGAUCUGAAUGUUGAUGAUCAUCUGUUCACAUGUCAGAAAGGUGACAAGAUGCUAUGAAGAUGUUACAUGUGAUGAUCCAGAAUGCAGAGCCAAGAGUGUUCUUCAAUGAACCGAAGAGAGCACGCGUCACUCCUCUCUUCAUUAAGUUACAAGAGCACCACUGGUUUGGCACCCUCUUAUCUUCACUCACUUAUGCAGAAUUAUGUACCCGCUAGAUCCUUACACUAUAUGCAAACGACCGACGUCUUGUGGUGCCAUCCCAAAAAGGUAAAAAAUUGCUCUCAUGAACCUUCUUUGGAUCUGUUCCACAUUUGUGUAAUGAUCUACCUGCUGCUACAAGAUCAGCAGAUUCUGUCCCCACCUUUAAGAAUCGGCUGAAAACACAUCUCUUCAGUCUGCACCUGAUAUAUAUAUAUAUCUUUUCUACAAUAUCUAAAAAAUGUAUUGGAAAAAAAACAUGCUUAUUUAUACUUAGAUAAACUAAACUUUGCUCUGUACACUGUAGUAGACUUUGUGAGACCUGUUUUUAUUGCACUUAUGCUUUUUGUUCUCCUAAUGUUGACCCAAUUGCUUCCAUUGUUUAUCCAACUUCAAGUCGCUGUGGAUAAAAGUGUCCGCUAAAUGUAAAUGUAAAUGAAAAGCUUUUUACUUAUCUAACUUGCUGAAUUAAGUGACAAUUUAAAUGUUUUGGGCACCAAUGAUAAAUUGCACACGCUACGUUAUAUCUUUGCGCACUUGUUUAACAUAUAUAUUUUGAUACACAUAUUGUAUUCCUGUAAGUUAUAGUCUCCUGAUGUUAUGGUUUUUCGCAAAUAACUGUGAUCACUGUUAUCACAAAAGGUGAGAAUGUCUGGGGCCUCAAAGGGGGGGAUACUGUAUAUGUAGGAAUUUCAUGACAUGACUUUGUUUUUCAUCCUUAUUCACAAUGUAUUGCUCUUCGAUUUAAACACAUUUGUAUGAGAUUCAGAAAAGCACCUGACUGCUUUGUUUUUGUUGUCUGGUAGUGUUUAUGAAAUCUGGGCACUUUUUCCGGCCCCAACCCUACAUGGUCCCAAUCUGGGCAUGUUCCGCCCCGUUACUAUGACAACAAUCUACAUAGAGCAAGGCCACAGUUUUGCCACAGUUAGAGACAAGAGAAUGGGGUGAAGAAGGGGAAACAGGUCAUGAUGAUGAUGAAAUAAUUGUGGUGGGCGAGGAUUUAUAUAAAAAAAUACACAAAGAUUGGUUUACCACCAAUAGAAACGGAUGAAAGGGGCGGGACCUAAAGAGAUAACCAGAAAUGACCGGAUUGGUUCAAAGUAAGGAACACCUCUUGACGUUUGGGUAUAACUGUUGAUGCAAAGCACUGUGUUUUCAGAUGACUUGGAACAUCUCACUUUGUUUGGCUCGAGCAAAUAAAGUUUACUCUUUGACACCUGGACCUUCUUUGUUUGAGAGAUUUUUAAACUGCAAGAUCAGUUAUCCCCAUCCCGUACAACAGAUCCAUGGCGUUCUUGUCCGAUGUUCGAUUGGCAUUUCUAGCCAUGCUGAUGUUGGCUCUACAUCUGGAGUUAACCAGUGCUGGUGGUGUCAGAGUUACAGGCUUACGUGCCAACAACCUCUCCGGCGCCGAUCCAGCGGGAAACCAAGCUGAUGCAUAUGUGAAGGUCUCGUGCAAUGGUUUAUUUAGGAGUAUGACAGAACAUCGCAGAGAUACAGAUUACCCCCAGUGGACCGCAGAGUUCAACAUAACAAAUUGUGAAGUCGGUGACACCCUGGCACUGGAGGUGUGGGACAAAGAUUUGAUUUUUGAUGACCAUUUGUACACUUGUAUCUUAGAGCUUAAGAGGGGGUCUCAUAAAAUCACUUGUCCGGACAAAUAUUAUGGAACUCUGUAUUUCGAUUACACUAUGUUUUAAAUCUGUUCUGAGAUCAUCUCCACUGUAACCAGCUCUGAAGUAAUCACGUACACAGUUCAUUGCAAGUUCUGCUUGUUGUGUAUUGAAAUGUGUUUGUGCCAAACAGGUUGUGGUAAUUUUACUACUGUCGACUGUAGUAUUCUACUGUAUUUUGCAUCUUGCUGAACUAACCGCAAACUGUUUUUUAUUCAAAUAAAAAAAUCGAUGCAGAGUAUAUUCUGUUGCACAAUGUCCAGUUGACUGUUAGGCGCAGUGUGUCCGUUUCGCCGCUAGAGGUCGCUUAUUUAAAACCAUCGACACAAGUGGUGGACCAAAAAAGAUUCGCUUGAUUGCACACCCCUUAAGUUCUUUAAACCUAAAUAAAAAAUAUUACUAGAAACGAUGCCUCGGUAAUAAACUGAAAUGGGUUUAAGCUGUGACGUUAAAAUCUUCACUGAAAAAAGCUAAAACUAAAAUAAUGAAACCUAAAAAGAUAUAUUAAUCAUAGGGCUGUCAAACGAUUAAUCGCAUACAGAAUAAAAAUUGUGUUUACAUAAUAUAUGUCGGUGUACUGUACAUAUUAAUUUUGUAUUUAUGAAUACAUACACAUAAAGUCAUAUACUUGAGAAAAAUAUAACAAUAAAUAAACGUUUUUUAUUGUAUUUACAAUUAUUGGUCAAUAUAAAUUAAUACAUUUAAAUAUUUUCUAAGUAUAUCGACAAGUAUGUGUAUGUUUUGUGUUUAUAAAUACAAAAUUACUACACACAGAUAUAUAUACUAACUUGGCGCAAACAGCGUCGCCAUGGAGACGGAGGAAAUCAAGGCGGCAUACCUGCAGGUCAUCACCAGCUGCAGCUUAUUCUCAACAAGAAGGAAGAUGUGCAACAGCUCUGUGCACACAGCCUUACCCCGUGUCAGAUCGAGGCCUUAUACCCACACCUUCCUCUCCUCUCCCACGGCGACUUCAAAUAAAGUUACCCUCCGGGGUUGUGUGUUGCACCUCUGGUGUACUUGAUGUUGCUCUGCCUGCUCAUAUGUAAAAACAAACCUAUAUUCUGGAUGCGAUUAAUCGCGAUUAAUCCUUUGACAGCCCUAAAAAAAGUGUGUUUAAAAUCAUAAAACAAAAAAAAUUCAAUUUAACUUAUCAUGAAAACAAAAAAUAUACACUAAAAACAUGAAUAAAUGUCUUUGCUUAUAAAGACUUGAUUUUACAGCUCCUACAGGACAGAGAACGAAAAACUGAUUACUAUCCACAUGGUUCAUGUUUUCUGUAAGAGGAUAGGAUGAAUGUUACCCUCAUAUGAACAUGAAAAUAAAAAAAACAUAUUUAUCGUAUUUGGCAGCCACUGGUGUCCAAAGUGAUGCAUUGCUCAAAUCACGUAUAACUGGUCAACCUUGACAUUGUUUGUGCCACUGGAUGAGCUGAACAAACAAAGUUGUUGCAUAAACACGAGACUUUGUCCCGUAUGAAAGAUUGUUGUGAUUCUUUUGGCUGUAAAUAGGGCUUGGGAUUCUAAAUUUAUCCUAAAACUACAAGUGGGUCAUGGCAUUCUUACACAUGCUGAUCUGGAUUUCACGCUUACGGGCCAAGUAUCCUUCUGGGGAAUGUCCCUGAUCCAUAUGUCCAAGUCUGAGGAUCAUUUCAGAUGGAUAUUUUAAGCCCUUUAUGGUCUGCAGGGAUCAGCUUUUAAAACUUCUGAAUCAUAGAACCUGAAGCUGGAGGUGUGGGACAAGGAUUUGAAUGUUGAUGAUCAUCUGUUCACAUGUCAGAAAGGUGACAAGAUGCUUUGAAGAUGUUAUAUGUGUGUACGAUAGUCAGUGGUGGCCAAGAACUGUUUAGCUACAAGCAUUCUUCCCAAUAUAUUUCUCUGUUUUCAUCAAAAAUGAAUUUCUAAAACAGAUUUGGAUCAACUUGAGGCACCUGAGCUUUGAAAACAGAGAUGGUCUCCAGCUCCUUCUCCCUCUCGAAGAUUUCCAUCUUCAUGCCAUCGAUCUUCUCCUGUUUGUCCGCCAGGGCCUUUUCUGCGACUGUAAACCUGGUUUGGAGGUCUUCGUACUCUUCCUUUGACACACUUCCCUGAUCAAGCACACAAACAUCUAUCAUCGACUUUAACAGCAGCGUGCAGACUAUCCAUCUGGACCUUCAGACUCUCGUUCUCAGUCUGGACCUUCUGCUUGUCUCCGAGCUGGGUCCUCAGAGUGCUCCGAUCCUGCUCCAGUUCUUUACACCUGCGGAAAGAGUGAUAAGAC